rnacentral:rRNA from 1 species
UACGGAGGGUGCGAGCGUUAAUCGGAAUUACUGGGCGUAAAGGGUGCGUAGGCGGUUGACUCAGUCGGAUGUGAAAGCCCCGGGCUUAACCUGGGAAUUGCAUUCGAUACUGGUCAACUAGAGUACGGUAGAGGGCAGUGGAAUUUCUGGUGUAGCGGUGAAAUGCGUAGAUAUCAGAAGGAACACCGGUGGCGAAGGCGACUGCCUGGACCGAUACUGACGCUGAGGCACGAAAGCGUGGGGAGCAAACAGG